rnacentral:lncRNA from 1 species
CUAUAGCAUACGAGUGUCAAUAUAACUUUCGUGGGGAAUUACAAAAGUUGGGAGAGUUUUUUAUUAUACAAAGUUUGCUUCUUCUGUGAUUGUGACCACGUAUACAAUGCUUUGAUAAAAGCAAUCGAAAUUCUACUUUGUUAAUUUCACGUUGAUAAAAACGUUGAAGCUAAUAUACAAACAAUAUAUCUAAAAUGAUAGGUGGGAGUGAACGUUAUAUUUAAUGUGAAU